UGCAUAGAAUUCUUACAAAUCAGGAAAUGAUGAUGGAUCAACUCAAAGUCAUUCUGAUAAACAUGCAGAAAAUGGGCGAACCUGCUCAUGGGCAGGAUCCCAUCGACAGAGAUUUACUGCCGCUAAAAGAUCCUACCUCCUUGCUGGCUCUGGAUAAACGUCUGAGGGAAGAGACCGACCUAGAAUAAAAUAUGAUUACUGCAUUGAGCUUCAUUGGAGGAGUUGACAUUAAGGAUAGCGUUUGGCGGGUUAUGGGGCACUGUAUUACCAACUCCCUUGGCAAACAACUCAACUGGCGUGGCAUCAAUGGCAAAACAGCUUUCCACAAACUGCAGCUGAAAGAUGUCAUUACUGGAACUGUCAGAAACAACAGACUGACAGCUGCGGCCACUGAUCAAGAAAUUGAAACAUUUAUAAAAAAAUGGCUUCAUCUUUCAAGUGACCGAGACGGAGGGAGAAGAGAAAAGGAGAAACG